UACGUAGGGACCAAGCGUUGUUCGGAUUUACUGGGCGUAAAGGGCGCGUAGGCGGCGUGGUAAGUCACUUGUGAAAUCUCUGAGCUUAACUCAGAACGGCCAAGUGAUACUGCUGUGCUAGAGUGCAGAAGGGGCAAUCGGAAUUCUUGGUGUAGCGGUGAAAUGCGUAGAUAUCAAGAGGAACACCUGAGGUGAAGACGGGUUGCUGGGCUGACACGUGACGCUGAUGCGCGAAAGCCAGGGGAGCAAACGGG
rnacentral:rRNA from 1 species